CGGGUGAGUAACGCGUGGGUAACCUGCCUUAUACAGGGGGAUAACAGUCAGAAAUGGCUGCUAAUACCGCAUAAGCGCACAGAGCUGCAUGGCUCAGUGUGAAAAACUCCGGUGGUAUAAGAUGGACCCGCGUUGGAUUAGCUAGUUGGUGGGGUAACGGCCCACCGAGGCGACGAUCCAUAGCCGGCCUGAGAGGGUGACCGGCCACAUUGGGACUGAGACACGGCCCAA
rnacentral:rRNA from 1 species